rnacentral:rRNA from 1 species
UUAAGUAAGGAAGGGCGUACGGCGAAUGCCUUGCCACUCGAAACUGAAGAAGGACGCGCCAAACUGCGAAAAGCUCCGUGAAGCUGUAAGGAAGCGAAGAAGCGGAGGUGUCCGAAUGGGGGAACCCGGCAGCAGACAUGAGCUGUCAUCUGCAGGUGAAUACAUGGCCUGCAAGAGAGGUACCCGGCGAACUGAAACAUCUAAGUAGCCGGAGGAAAAGAAAACAACAGUGAUUCCCUGAGUAGCGGCGAGCGAAAGGGGAGAAGCCCAAACCGGUUGAAGGACCGGGGUUGAAGGACCAUGACAUGGCAAGAACGAGGAUAGGAGAACGGGAUCGAAAGCCCGGCCGAAGAAGGUGAAAGCCCUGUAACCGAAAUCCGAGUAAAGCCUAAUGGGAUCCUGAGUACGGCGAGACACGAGAAAUCUUGUCGGAAGCAGGCGGGACCAUCCGCCAAGGCUAAAUAUAAACGAGUGAGCGAUAGUGAACCAGUACCGUGAGGGAAAGGUGAAAAGAACCGCGGGAGCGGAGUGAAAGAGAACCUGAAACCGUAUGCCUACAAGAAGUCAGAGCCCGUUAAGGGGUGAUGGCGUGCCUUUUGUAGAAUGAACCGGCGAGUUGCGACAGACUGCGAGGUUAAGGAGGAAAGACCGGAGCCGAAGCGAAAGCGAGUCUUAAGAGGGCGAAAGUAGGAUGUUGCAGACCCGAAACCGGGUGAUCUAGCCAUGAGCAGGUUGAAGUUGAGGUGAAACUCAAUGGAGGACCGAACCGACUACCGUUGAAAAGUUAGCGGAUGACUUGUGGCUAGGGGAGAAAUUCCAAUCGAACCCGGAGAUAGCUGGUUCUCCCCGAAAUAGCUUUAGGGCUAGCGUCGGAAAGAACCUUAGUGAAGGUAGAGCACUGAAUGUGUGAUGGCCCCAUCCCGGGGUACUGAAUACAAUCAAACUGCGAAUGUCAUUAAGGAUGUCCGGCAGUCAGACUGUGAGUGAUAAGGUCCAUGGUCAAGAGGGAAACAGCCCAGACCGCCAGUUAAGGUCCCAAAAUACAGGCUAAGUGGAAAAGGAUGUGGGGAUGCCCAGACAACUAGGAGGUUGGCUCAGAAGCAGCCAUCCUUUAAAGAGUGCGUAACAGCUCACUAGUCGAGUGACCCUGCGCCGAAAAUGUACCGGGGCUAAGCCUGAUACCGAAACUGCGGAUUGUAGGAAACUAUAGUGGUAGGGGAGCGUUGUAUACGAGCAGAAGCCGUACCGUGAGGAGCGGUGGAUUGUAUAGAAGUGAGAAUGCCGGUGUGAGUAGCGAGAUGUAGGUGAGAAUCCUACACACCGAAAGCCCAAGGAUUCCAGGGGAAGGUUCGUCCGCCCUGGGUAAGUCGGGACCUAACGCGAGGCCGAAAGGCGUAGUGGAUGGAAAGCAGGCGAAAGAUUCCUGCACCCGUAUAUGGAGCGAAGGAGUGACGGAGACGGAUAGUGUGACCCUCUUAAUGGAUUGAGGGCGAAGCGAAGCGGCUGGUUACCAGGCAAAUCCGGUAACCAUAAGGCUAGAGCGUGACAGGUAAGCGAAAUCUUAGGAAAGUAGCGAAGCACAUGAUGACGGCUUCCAGGAAAAGCUUCUGGCAAUGCAUAUGCGGCCCGUACCAAAACCGACACAGGUGGGCAGGGAGAGAAUCCCGAGGUGAGCGAGAGAACUGUUGCCAAGGAACUCGGCAAAAUGACUCCGUAAGUUAGCGAGAAGGAGUGCUUAAGCAAUUAAGCCGCAGUGAAGAGGCCCAAGCGACUGUUUAACUAAAACACAGCUCUCUGCGAAGUCGCAAGACGAAGUAUAGGGGGUGACACCUGCCCGGUGCUGGAAGGUUAAGAGGAUCUGUUAAGAGCGAUCUGAAGCAGUGAUCCGAAGCCCCAGUGAACGGCGGCCGUAACUAUAACGGUCCUAAGGUAGCGAAAUUCCUUGUCAGGUAAG